AUACCCUUUGUGACAUACCUAUAACUGUUGCUUCGGCGGGUAGGGUCUCCGUGACCCUCCCGGCCUCCCGCCCCCGGGCGGGUCGGCGCCCGCCGGAGGAUAACCAAACUCUGAUUUAACGACGUUUCUUCUGAGUGGUACAAGCAAAUAAUCAAAACUUUUAACAACGGAUCUCUUGGUUCUGGCAUCGAUGAAGAACGCAGCGAAAUGCGAUAAGUAAUGUGAAUUGCAGAAUUCAGUGAAUCAUCGAAUCUUUGAACGCACAUUGCGCCCGCCAGCAUUCUGGCGGGCAUGCCUGUUCGAGCGUCAUUUCAACCCUCAAGCUCUGCUUGGUGUUGGGGCCCUACAGCUGAUGUAGGCCCUCAAAGGUAGUGGCGGACCCUCCCGGAGCCUCCUUUGCGUAGUAACUUUACGUCUCGCACUGGGAUCCGGAGGGACUCUUGCCGUAAAACCCCCAAUUUUCCAAAGGUUGACCUCGGAUCAGGUAGGAAUACCCGCUGAACUUAAGCAUAUCAAUAGG
rnacentral:rRNA from 1 species